rnacentral:tRNA from 1 species
GCCCGUGUGGCGAAAUUGGUAGACGCGCCGGACUGUCAAUCCGGUGACCUCCUCGGGUUUUGCGGGUUCGAAUCCCGCCGCGGGCA